CAAACUAGAGGUCAGGUCGACGACGUACGACAUUUUCACUUUGUCGAAGGAGCAUCGAUUCUUCAAGAAAAGAAGCGUCUCGAGGCCUCACGUUAGAUAUCAAGUCAUUAACACGGAAAGAGCACGGAUGUAAAACUAUGAAUGGUCACGAAUUGUCGUGUGAGUUGUCGGUUAAAUCGACUACUGCUGGGCAGGACCUUCAUUUGGCCCGGUGAUUGAUUUUGGUUCUUACAGGUCAUUCGAGGUGGCAUAAUCCCGGUCGGUGGUCACUCGAUCGACGAGAUCUCACUACGUUACUACUCCCGACACCCGCCGUUUCAAAUAUUGGAUCUUUGUUCUGUGAUUGCCCUCUGCGGGAAUAGACGAAGGUGAUUAUUUGGGUCGGUGAUUUAUUUGAUUAAUUAGGGUUUCGCUCGCGGGAUGCGGCCGGAAAGCGGCCCUCGGUCCUGGGCGGAGCGCAGAGCGGCGGUAUUUAUGGAGUGGAGGGGGGCAGUGGAGUGUGGUGAUGUGUCUCGAAGUCGCGUAAUCGUAGAAUCGUGUGUGUGGCUGGGAUCGAACAGCUAAUCAGCUCCGUCGCUGCUACCGGUUCCUGUAGCUCCGCCGCGGGGGGCCACCCCUCAUGCCCCGGUUCCUGAUGAGGCUGGGCGGCGGCCGCGGCGAGAAGCUGCGGCUCCUCGACUGAUUUACCAGGGACAUGGCGCGCCAGUAGCGGCUCAAGCACCGGUGCGACGAGAAGGAGAUGUAGUGGCACCGGUGGCAGUAGCCCAUGUUCGUGGUCCGUCUGGGGCGGCCGGGGUCACGACGGCUGCGCCGGACGUCGCCGCAGCCGUAGGAGCCGUAGCGGACCCGCAAGCCGCCGUACUAGAAGCAGGAGCACAUGACGUGGCGGCCCCAAAGGCCACCGGUGUAGUUGGGCCGCCACUGCAAGCCCGAUAAGGACCGCGCGUUCCACAGCGACCACGCACGCGACGAGAUGUAGUAGCGCGUCACGGACCCGCGGUAGACGCCGCACCCCGAGCAGUUCCCCAAGGUCUCGCGGAAGAUGCACGCGAUACCGCCACCGCGGUUGCUCGAGUCGAGUCCGAUGAGGUUCCCGUGGCCGGAGCGCCGGCUCUAGUAGCCGUGGAAGCACGAGCAGAUGUGGCAGAAGAGGCGGUGUCUGGGGUUCGCGUCGCGAGCACUGAGGGUGCAGGGCCACGACCGAGGAGACGGUUAGCCGAAGCGCCACAAGUACCACGUGAACCGGUGAUAAGGCUAGUGGCCGUGGCCGUAGUUGGGCCGUUCCUCGAAACCUCGACGGCACUAGAUGUUGUUGCUCUUCCGGACCCUACUGGUGACCUAGAAGACCCACCCCGGUAAGUAGCCCCGGCGGUAGCGGCGGCGGAUGGUGGUCAUGCAGGACUCCCGGUCGCGGUGGUUCGAGCCGAGCAGACGGAGGAAGCCGUCCUCGAUCUAGUCGUUCGGCGGCAUACCUACUAGCCUUCGUGCCUGUCAUCUAUAUAGUCACACUAUGACAAGUCUAGUACAUAACACGUGCGCAGACAUAAAAGAAUCUGCGUAAACCCACACAAGUUUUAAAGGGAUGUUAACGUGAUUUAAGCUUCCUGAGCAGUGGUACACAAAAAAGAACUUGUUUGUUUCCCAUGUAUUCCUGGGUCUUCAACGUAAUUGAUCUUUGUUCACCUAGUGCAGCAAAAUGUUGUCCUGAACUUUCUUUUUCCUUUCUUGUUUGAUCAUGGAUCAAUAAUGUUUCUCCUGGCGGUUUACAGUAACUUUGAGCAUUAACCCAGGGACCGUACACCGUAGAGUUCGGGCUUAGAUCAGAUCAGAAGUGGUUCGUACUGUGGUGUACCACGCCGCUCGGGAGGUACCAUGGCGCGGUACUUGAAGUUCUGCUUCUACAUCACGGAGAUAGACCGAGAACCGACCCUCCUUCUUCGUUCAAGUGGUAAGUAGGUUGUCUAAAUUACCGCUACUAACCAUAACUGG
rnacentral:rRNA from 1 species